ensembl:lncRNA
UGUCAUACGACAUAUUGUGCGAGGGAAGAGGCAGAGAGCCCCUCCAUAAAUGAUUCAAGCGUUUAUUUAUCAGCAGUUUAUGUCUGCCCCGGGCAGCUGCCAUGGCAAUAUUAAUGACUUGGCCUCGCCACAUUUGAAGUGAAAAGGUCACGGCUGUUAGACUCCCCAGUUAAAUCUGAGGCCUACUGUUUAUUUAACGCUCUAAAGUGCUUUGAGAGGCUGGGGAAGGAGGGGAGUUUAUCUCACGCGCUGAGAGAGAGAGAGAGAGCGAGAUGUGACUGUUUUCAUGCUGUAUUGACAGAGCUCCUAAACAAGGCUGUCUUCUGGGGUUGAGCUGCGCCUCGCGUUUGACCCAUCGAGCUGCUGUUUCUUAUGGUUGAGGUCUACAGAGAAACAACAGCUCCAGGCCUUCAGUCCCAGAUGGACCGGCCCACAUCCCCCUUCCUCUGCCACAGCAUUAGCCCAGCAACCCUGUGCCCCGCGCCUGUCACAGCUCACACCGGGGUCAGGCAGACACUGAUCACAGAUAACAGGGAAGUCACUGUAACAGGGAACUCUCCACACAUUUAAACAGGUGUUGAACAAUCACUGGAAUCAGACAGAGUGUUGUCUCUCCGUGUCCGUACUGUUCAUGUUUGCAUGAUUUUCUUCAUAAGAUCAAACAUUAAAACACAACAACACCUGCAGAUGAGUGAAUGUUUGCCGCAGAAGCUGAUUUCAUGUGUUAUUCACACCUUUCAAACACUCAACACUGAUUAACUCACACUGAUUACAUUUCACUGAACUACUGAGGCACAAAAGCCAUUAGACUUCCUUGUUAGCAUGACUGGACAAAAUUGAGUUUUAGAACUGGCUCUGUUCAAUUCAUGAGCUGGAAUUAAAUUGCCCACACAGGAUGACAGUAAGAGGAAAUGAAUGAAUUACAAUUUAAAGUCAUUCAGUACAAUAGAGGAAUUACAUUAGUACUACAAAACAACAAAUGGGCAAGAACAGAGAAGUUUGAAAAUUCUUUAAGGUUGGAGUGUUGACCCAAAAAUGAAAUUUCAAUAAUUUUUUACUCACCUACAAAAUUUUUUUCUUCUGUAACAUGAAAAUUUAAAUCUAUCUAUCUAUCUAUCUAUCUAUCUAUCUAUCUAUCUAUCUAUCUAUCUAUCUAUCUAUCUAUCUAUCUAUCUAUCUAUCUAUCUAUCUAUCUAUCUAUCUAUCUAUCUGUCUCUUUCUGUCUGUCUGUCUGUCUGUCUGUCUGUCUGUCUAUAGUAGUCGAUGGUAAUCAAAUAGUUUUAGUUUUGAUUAUUAUUUAAAAUAUCAGCUUUAUUUAUUUUUUCACACAAUAUCCGUUUUUGGGUGAGCUAUCCUUUUAAGUUUCUUGUACAUUGGCUUUGGAGUAAAUUAAUAA